rnacentral:rRNA from 1 species
GAGUUUGAUCCUGGCUCAGAUUGAACGCUGGCGGCAUGCCUUACACAUGCAAGUCGAACGGCAGCACGGGAGCUUGCUCCUGGUGGCGAGUGGCGAACGGGUGAGUAAUGCAUCGGAACGUAUCCUGGAGUGGGGGAUAACGUAGCGAAAGUUACGCUAAUACCGCAUAUUCUGUGAGCAGGAAAGCGGGGGACCUUCGGGCCUCGCGCUCUUGGAGCGGCCGAUGUCGGAUUAGCUAGUUGGUGAGGUAAAGGCUCACCAAGGCGACGAUCCGUAGCAGGUCUGAGAGGAUGAUCUGCCACACUGGAACUGAGACACGGUCCAGACUCCUACGGAGGCAGCAGUGGGAAUUUUGGACAAUGGGGGCAACCCUGAUCCAGCCAUGCCGCGUGAGUGAAGAAGGCCUGG